rnacentral:rRNA from 1 species
UGGGGAAUAUUGGACAAUGGGGGGAACCCUGAUCCAGCCAUGCCGCGUGUGUGAAGAAGGCCUUAUGGUUGUAAAGCACUUUAAGCGAGGAGGAGGGUACUGGUAUUAAUACUACCAGCUACUGGACGUUACUCGCAGAAUAAGCACCGGCUAACUCUGUGCCAGCAGCCGCGGUAAUACAGAGGGUGCAAGCGUUAAUCGGAAUUACUGGGCGUAAAGCGCGCGUAGGUGGUUCGUUAAGUUGAAUGUGAAAGCCCCGGGCUCAACCUGGGAACUGCAUCCAAAACUGGCGAGCUAGAGUAGGGCAGAGGGUGGUGGAAUUUCCUGUGUAGCGGUGAGAUGCGUAGAUCUAGUAAGGAACACCAGUGGCGAAGGCGACUACCUGGUCUCAUACUGACACUGAGGUGCGAAAGCGUGGGGAGCAAACAGG